AUGUCUUCUUGGGAAUUGGUUUCAUUUUCUUUGGGCCCACAUACGGUGUCUAAUACCUUUCUUUGUCUCUUUUCUCUCUGCAGAUUGCUUCAGGAAAGCACAUUUAAGCAAGAGCUUAGGGGCAAAAAAGGGAUAAAACCUUGUCUCCUUUUGGAAAGGAUGCUUGUCUCGGUUCAAAAUGCCUUAGGAUGUUUGGAAAUUCAGCUGUGUUUCCUGCGAAGAACAAGAGAUGAGUUGAGCCCAGAACAGGAUUCGCAGGCCCAAAGUGUGAAGUGCUAGACAAUAAUAAUUCAUCAGGGCUCAGUGAAAUCUGUGUUGUUUACUUCUUAGUCCAUGCUGUCCCCUUCAUCCCAACAAGAGAAGCCUUCUAAAAUGAUG
ensembl:lncRNA